AUAAAUAUAAAGAAAUAUUAACUGAAUGCCUCCUGCACUCAAUUGACACGAUUUAAAAAUGUGUUUCCAAGCCCACCUCAACCCACUUUAACUUGUUUGAUAGUGUUUAUCACUGUCAUUAAGUAAAAAAGCUGUGACUUCCAUCCAAUUAGUAUCAAUAACUGCAUCUUCUGCAAUUUGCAGCCUAUACUUUCCAGUUGCAACCUUGUUGCUCAUCAACAGAACCAUAUUGUACAAUAAAACAAAUUUGCAAGCAUUUCAAACAGAUUCAAAGUGAUUGGCUAUCCUAGAAAACUCAGCAAACUAACCGAGGCAGGACUAUGUUCAUUCUUAGCUGAAGCUCCACUUACUGAAAAUUGGACAAGGUGUCUGCUCAUUACGAAGAAUUGAUAUCCAGUGCUUUAUCAAAGGAUGCGGUGGCACAAACACCUAAAAAAUAAAAAAUAAAAAACAUUCAAUACAAUGAUAUCGUUGUUACCUCAACCUAUAAAUAAAAUUCAAUUCGCUUAUCAAUUACUGACCAACAUUUUGUCUUCGGGCAUGGCUCUCCUCUCCGUCGUUUGGACCCUCACAGAAACACAUCUUCGUUUCCCACUAUUCACACCCAAAAUCUAUCACAUUCAUCAAAACACAUCAAAUAAACAUAAAAUUACGGUUUUAAUUUCAAAUACAGUUGUCAACGAUGUAUAUAUGCUGUUUACCUUGGAAUUGUUAUUGUUAGAGCAGAGAAGGGGAUUAGGUGUAGGAAGGCGUUGGGGAAGGAGUAGUGAGGUGGAAGAGAAUGGGGAGUUAAGGAGAGGAUAAUUAUAAAUGCGGAAAGCCAUUAAUUUAUAAGAUAAAAGGAGAAAAAAUGACAAGGAGAGUGAAUGACUCAGUUGUUGUUGAUAGGAUCUGACUGUAGAUUAUUUUUCGCGAGAAGAAGGUGCACGGAAACUACUGUGAGGUCGCCCGCAUGGGAAAUAAAGUUUCUUGAAAUAAUGAUCGUGAAGGCGAACUUCUUUCCAGUGUAAUACUAAAAGGCCCCUAUUUUUCUCUCAUUAUAAUGAGAACGAGUUUGAAGUAGUAAUUUUUUGAAAAAAUGUGUAGUUAGAAAUGAAGAAUAAGUUUUGGAUGUACGUGUAAUAUUAUAUUAUUGAAAAUUUUGUUGUUAAUAAAAAUGAAGAAAAAAUGAAUUAUAAUUUAAUGAGAACCAAACAAAUGCUUAGCUGCAGACAACCCUAGUAAAGAUAAAUAAUAUUACUCUCUGAUGAUCAUAUUUAAAGGGUAUUCGAGCCACAUUAUUUUGGUAAUAAUACAUUCUUGAAUAGUAUAUUGAUGGAAAAUAUGUAGUUAAAAAAUAAGGAAAUUUUUUUAUUUGUGUGUAAUAUUAUUUUAUUGAAAAAUGUGUGUUUGAAAUGAUGUCAAAUUACUAUUUAAAAAUUUUUUUUUUUUUGAAAUAAUGUGGUUCAAACAGGCUCUUAUACCCCAAUCCCAUAUGUAAAAUUUGUAUAUAAUUUUCUAAAAUAGUUGUUUCAAAUGUGAAUUCAUGAUUUUUUUUCCUUACUUUUUUUAAUAAUUUUCACAAAAUUUUUAAAUAUUAUUCUAAAAAAAUUUACAAAACACAUACUCUGAUUAUGGUAACUAUCGUUCAUCAAAUUCGUUUUGAGUACUUAAAUCUAAAUUUUAGCCGACGAAAAUACUAUAUUUAUGGGAAUCACUCCCAACUUGAUUAUUACUCCAGAAUAUAAGAGAAUAAAUGGAUAUGUGAAGGAUCACAGUACUCUGCAUGUGUCUCAUCAAAAUCAUCACAAAAUAUAUAAAAUAUUAUACAGUUCAAACCCUCAAAAAAAUAGAGGAAAAACUCGUCAUUUGUCCAUUAAAAUCAUCUAGACACUAACUAUCAAGCCAAUUCUCAUUCACCAUUGAGCGUCUGCAACUGCUACAAAUAUGGAGUAAUAGUUUUUUACGUGCUAAACACGUGUUGCCUUGUACAUACCAAAUUGCGGUCUAGAGUUAGUUGAAUCCCAUCUAUGGCUUGCUACCUAAAUCAUACCAUCAAUUAGGGAUGGCAAUCGGGCUCGCCGGUUCGGGUCACCCGUGGCUCGGCUCGGGACUCGGUAGACCCGAGCCUAAGCUCAGGCCGAGCCCCAUUUUGGGGACACGAGCUUUGCCCGAGCCGGCCGAUGAGUUCGCGGGCCUUUAAAAAAAAAAAAUUAAGGCAAAACUGCUGCCUUCAAGGCAGCAAAACUGCUGCCUUUUAAGGCAGCAGGAGGGAAGAAAAAAAAAAUUGGGGAGAAAACUAGCCUGCCCGGCUCGGCCCUUAAAAAGCCCGAGCGAGCCUUUUUUUUUUGCCGAGCUUUUGCUCGGCCUGGCUCGAGCCCGCAAAAAAGCUCGGUCAUUUUNNNNNNNNNNNNNNNNNNNNNNNNNNNNNNNNNNNNNNNNNNNNNNNNNNNNNNNNNNNNNNNNNNNNNNNNNNNNNNNNNNNNNNNNNNNNNNNNNNNNNNNNNNNNNNNNNNNNNNNNNNNNNNNNNNNNNNNNNNNNNNNNNNNNNNNNNNNNNNNNNNNNNNNNNNNNNNNNNNNNNNNNNNNNNNNNNNNNNNNNNNNNNNNNNNNNNAACCGGGCCGGGCCCGGAGCCGAAACUUUAGGCUCGCGAGCCGGCUCGGCCCGGCUCGUUUACAUCCCUACCAUCAAUCGAUGCUAAUCAACUAUAUUCAUGCACAACCAUCAAAUUAUUUUGUCCCAUGGUUGAAACCUUGCAUAGAAAAUUCUAUUUGUACAUAAUUAUUGCAUAUAAUGGUGUUCAUAAUGUAAUGUGACAAUCAUCCGGUUAUUGAUGUACAAGUGUGAGGUUUGAAUUAAAUGUUAGAUUCAGUGCCACGUGUAAUUAUGAACAUCAUUAUAUAGAUAAUUAAGUAUAUGUAGCAUUUCUCAUCUUGCAUUGCCUCGCACCUAAAAUCCGACAAGACUACAAGGACAAGGCAAGCCUAUGCCAUAACGUAUGUCCAAAUUAAAGAGCUGACAAUAACCGACAAACCUACGCAUAAGCAAGUAAUUUGCUCGAGAAAAAUGAAGAGGUGGAUUUAAGAGAUGUUUAUGACCAAAAAAGAAAUGAAAAUAACUAAACUUAUAGUUCAAGAAUCUUCGAAAUAACAUGUUUAUGAGAAAAUCCUUCUAACAUAUUCCCUCUAUAGUUCAUAUAUAUUGACAGAGAUUACUGUUGAAUAUUAUGAAAUUUAAACUUUAUAUAAUAGCCAAGAUUUUCAUGUCAAAUCACCAAGAAAAAUAAUUAAUGCGGAGCAUACCUUGAUCCAUUGAUUUGUAUCUCGGAUGAUGAAUCUCGAAUUAUAAUGUUUAAAUCUUAUCUUUCGAAUCUUUGAUCGAAUCCUUCUUCUUGAUUCUUGAAUGUAGAUUGCCCUUUUUUUAUUGUGAGUUUUUUGGAUCUUUCUCUUCAAUAUAUUUUUUCUAUAAUUCUUGGGUUGAUGUGAUGAGAUAAAUAAUGAAAAUUAUAUAUGAAUUGAGACCAUAACCCUAAAUAUGGUUUUCAUAUGUAUUUCGUCCAUCAUAAAAUAAAAAUUUAAAAGAAUCAUAUCUCUACAUAUAUAAUCUGACCCAAAUUUUAUUUAGAUGUCAUAAGCCCAAUUAGUCUUUAUACAUAAUUAAUUACAUAUGUCGGCCAACAUGACAAAUCAAUACUUUUCCCAACAAUUACUUGAUUAUAUAGUUUAAAAGUUGUAAAUUACAUGAAAUAUAUAAUUACAAUUAAUUAAUUAUUUUUAAUUACUUAUUUAUCAAGAUUAAAAUUCACACCAAUGACUUGAAUGAUUAUCUAGUUAUCCUAGUCUAUUAGGCAGUCUCCUUAAAACCUUAAUAAUUUAAAUGUAUUUGCACCCUGGGGCAUAGCCUAGUGGUGCAAAUGAUAGGAGUGAGGUUAUCUCACGCUUUGCUCGCAGCCGCAGUAUGGGGGUUCGAUUCUUGAGACAUGAAAUUGGACUCCUUGUAGGCGCAGUGUACAGCCAACUCUUGUUCCCUGGCUUGUUGGGCACAUCCUGCGAUUUACCUCCCUCACAAAGCUCUAGGGAUGGGGCAGUGGAGGCUCUCAAGGUCGGGGUUCAAUCUUUUUUUUUUUUUAUUUAAAUGUAUUUAUAUGAGCAUGUGGGCCAAAUGAGAUUUCACAGUGGAAGUAAAGAUCGCAGAUUAGAUAUUGGUUACGAAGUGGAGGACCCGGGAGAUAAGGGAAAGAAUAGAGAAAAAAUAAAAAUAAAAAGAGGUUUUCUUGGCUUUCAGCUUCCUGGUUUUUAAAAAACAUCAGAGCCUACAACGCUAACAAUUGUUGGCUUUAUUCAUUCAAGAAUCCUGUUGGGAGUUUCGAUAGCUCAAUUCAUACAAUCACAAUCGUCGAUUGAGUGAAAUGAUAGAAAUAGUAGGACUUGAAAAAUCCAAAAAUAAAGUUCUGAUCCUCCUCUCAACUAGAGGCUAACAACUCAAUCGAGCACUCAAGAUAGGUUGCUUACAGCUUACUAGGAUUUGGUACCAAGCUGAGGCAAGAGAAAUGGUUUACACUUUUAUAUGUCUCCCUUCUGAUUUAACAACUUUUGCUCUAUGCAGAGGCCAUAGCUUGAAUAGAUAUUGGUUACUACUUAGUACUAGUCUAUAUGCUUAGUACUAGUCCAUCAAGUUUUGCUACACGUAUAGAAAAAUUUUCAUAGAAUUCCACUCACCGCAAUGUCAUUGAUCCUUGUCAAAAAAAAAAAAGAAAAAUAAAUAAAUAAAUUUGCUGGUGCCUGUGAGUUAUUACUCAGGGAAUAACUCUAGUCCAUAUGCUAUUCUUAGGUUUUCUGGAUUUUUUAUUUCUUUAUUUAUCUUGACAUAUAUUCUAAUGUAAUAAUAUAUUUAUUUUUGCAUAUAAGACUAUAAAUUUUAAAUAAUGCUACUUGUACAUAAUGGAGCUACAAAAUGGAUUACAUACAAAUGAGUUGUCUAAAAAAGGAUGGGAAAGUGUUGUUGUUGUUGUUGGUUUUGUUUUUUUUUUUUUUUUUUUUUUUUUUUUUUUUUUUUUUUAAAAUUUUUUUUUCAAAUUUUUUCACAAAUNNNNNNNNNNNNNNNNNNNNNNNNNNNNNNNNNNNNNNNNNNNNNNNNNNNNNNNNNNNNNNNNNNNNNNNNNNNNNNNNNNNNNNNNNNNNNNNNNNNNNNNNNNNNNNNNNNNNNNNNNNNNNNNNNNNNNNNNNNNNNNNNNNNNNNNNNNNNNNNNNNNNNNNNNNNNNNNNNNNNNNNNNNNNNNNNNAAGGGGGGAAAGUUUUUUUUUUUUUUUUGUUUUUUUUUUUUUUUUUUUUUUUUUUUUUUUUUUUUUUUUUUUUUUAAGAAAUUCUAAUCCAAUCAUAUCCACAACUGUGUAUAUAAAACAUUAUAUAUAUGUAGCCCAACCGAUAUAUUUUACCCAAGUUUGGAUGCAAUUCAAAAUUCAAUGGUAUUACAAACAUACUAUUAUACAUUAAUAAUAUGUCAACUUGUAUAUGAUGAAUAUUUAUAUUAAUAAAAACCAUAAAAUAUUUCCAGUUGAAAACUACAUACGCAUUAGAAUUGAUAAUUGAGUUUCCUUUUUAUUCAAUCUAGUUAUUAUAUUAUUUCUAUCUUUAUAAUUUUAAUUCUAGGGCGAGGUAAUUAUAUGUAUUCAGUAGGCAUGACCCCUAUUCGAUUCUGUCUAAAAAAUCGAAUUAAAAUUUAAGUUAAAGUCAACCACACAUUUUCAAUAUUUAUUAAAAUUUACUAAAAAUUUAAUCUUUAUCUAAAAUUAACACUGAACAGGGGCAUAGUCCCGUAGAAUUUCCAUUGAAAUUUAAACAGUGCAAAGACUACAAUGUUAUGGUGUUUGUCUUGAUACAUUGAGCCCAUGUUUUGAUAAUGUUUUAUAAGAUGAUGAGUUGGUUAAAUUUCAUGAUUACAUAUUUGACGACUAACUUUUAUACAUUUUUCAAUUAUAUAUUUCCUGAUCCAUUGAAUAAAAUCAAAGAGUUCUUAUCUCAAAAAUGAUCUUUGAUCGGCAAUUUGACAACUCAACGAUCUCAAAUUAUUGCGUUCUCAAAGUUCUUUCACGUUUUGUUUUCAUCAUAGAAGGUAUUACGGGCUUGUUCGAUAGUGAUUUUGAAAAAUUGAUUUUUUGACCGUUAGAAAGAAAAGUAAAUCCUACAUGUGAGAGAAGAAAUAAAAAAAUGUCUGAAAUAGUGACAUAGCUGUCAAAAAAUUGAUUUUUUGGAAAGAAAAAUCCAUACCAAACAUGCACUAUAUCUUAGCACAAACGAGCAUAACUUCGCAUGGAAUAAAUGAAAAUUCACAGAAUAGUUUAAACUCCUCCAACAUCAAGAGAAACUUCACUCUUCUAAGGCAGCAUGACAAACAAACAUAGCAUUUCUGAUACGAAAUUACACACACGUGGAAAUCAUAGGGUGUUAGAACAUCAAUGCUUGCAAUAAAGCCAGAUCGGAAACCCCAAAUUUAUUUCGAGUUCAAAAUAUUGUAUAUAGAUGAUGACAAUAAGAUAUAUCUUCCAAUCCUUCCUGAAAAUGUAAAAUUAAACGGCAAGCUCAAAGUUCACCAUCCCAUAUAUCUUCAACGGUUCUGUAUGAGCCGAACUUUUCAUGGACAAAAAAGUUACCUGUAACCUGUCUUUCCUGCAAAGUAGAAAAACCAUUCCUUAAGAUACGUAGAAAGAAAAAGCCCGAGUUCUUUGUUUACUGUGUAAAAAUUGGUGUAGAUGUAGCAUCUGGACAAAAUUUUUAACAUCAGAAUCUUGAUUGUUGGUGAUUCUGCAUACAUGUUGGCAUGUUUGCCAAAUGAAAUUAUACUGGUUAGGAAAGGAAGAAAAAUAAUUAAAAUCUUAUCUAUUGUAGUGUCCAAUCAAGUUCAACAUUGCCGACCAAACAUGCCUCGUAAGUAUGAUUUAUUAGUUAUUUAGUUAUAAUACGAAUAUUCAAGGACAAAAACUGUAGGGGAUUCACGUGAUGAUGACGAAUCAAAAAAUUGCUAGGAAGCACUCUUUAUCUAAAAUCUAACUCCUCUCGGCAGUAUGUGCAAAAUAUAUUGUUGUGUUACUAACGACUGCCAGUUAGAAGAAAUAUACACUUAGAAAUCUCAAAGGGAUUUAAUAAAAAUAAAAAUAACUUACCUGAUCAAUUUCGGAGAAGUUGGCAAAUAAGUCAUCAGGUAUAGACCAAUCGAAAACAUCAAAGUUCUCUUUGAUCCUUGAUUCAUUUGUGCUUUUGGGAAGUACACUAUGACCCAUCUGCAAACCCCAUCGAAGAGCAACCUGAGCAGGACUUUUACCCAAUUUUUCUGCAAUAGAAACUACAACAGGAUGCUUGAGGACAUCACUCUUGUACAUCGCUGUUCCAGGUGAACCAAGUGGUGAAUAUCCCUUUUAAGAAAAUUAACAGGUUAAUUAGAAUUCAAAACAUAAAACCUUUCUCUGACAUAAACAUUUAAUGGAAAACCGAGCAAUUAUAAUUAUCGAAAACCACCAGAAAGAGAGAGACAACCAAAAGAAGUUUCCUCAUUCUUAAAGACAUGAACAAAAGGCAGCAACCCGAAUUAAGUAACUGAGUUUUGACAACUCACAGUGAGGUGAACUCCCUUUGAUUUACAGAAUUCUUGUAGUUUGGUCUGCUGCCACACCGGAUGGCACUCAACUUGGACAACAGACGGAGGAAUGCGAGCUAAAUCCAAUAGAUCACCCAGCUUUUUGGUAGAGACAUUGCAAAUGCCAAUAGCUCGGGCCUUACCAGAAUCAUAGAGUGCUUCCAUGACCUUCCAUGUGGUAGGUAUAUCCACUGGAACAAAGUCUUCUGGAUUCAUGCCAACAGCCCCCUUCCUCAACCGAGCAGGCCAAUGGAUCUUCACAAUUAGACAGAUCAAAUUCAUUAGCCCAUGAUAUAAUUUUUCAACAGUAAAGAUGCAAAAUAUCCCACCCAAAGAUAGGAGAGAGAGCUAAUCACGCCACUAUUACAUAUCAUUUCAACUUUGAAAGCCAGGUAAGCAGACCAAUAGUUAAAGCAGCUUUAAUGUUUUUAAAAUUUGACAUGGCAUCAAGGUCACCUCUAUUGAUCAAGCUGAUUUUGUGUUACUGUAGAUCUAAGAAUUCACUUGAUUCAGUUAUUUCCAUUCAUACACUGUCUUCAUAUAAGGCCAUCUUGCAUUAACUUUUAAACAGUCAAAAAUUCAAUAUCACGAAAAAUUACGUACAAGAUACAAAUCAAGAUAGUCAAGUUGCAGAUCUUCCAAUGUUUUAUCUAAUGCCACAGGUACAUCUUCUGGUGCAUGAUCAGUACACCUGCACAAGUUAAGAGAUCUGUUCUAGCUUGAAUGCUUAAAAUGUCAAUGAGUAAAGACCAGAUGUGAAAGAGAAGAGUAAUUGAAGCAAUUAAUAUAUAAUGUUCAAGCACCUCAAGACUAGCUUUGCAUCAAACCAAAAAGGAAAGUGAAGCAGCAAGUGCAAAGAAAGUAUUUUGUAUAUAUAUAACGCACACAAAUUACAUAACUGACAGUACCACUGCAUAAUGCACAUCCAUUAUGGUGGAAAACUGCCCCAUUUACAUUGGAAGAUGUUCUAGAUUCAAACUUCAAAAUUGAAGUAACUCACAUUGACAAGUUUCAUCAAUCAGCUUUUCACUUCUUGAAAAUAUUUGUGAACAUAAUUCAAUUACCAGAGUUUGGAGGUAAUAAAUAAAUCCUCCCUCUUCACAACUUCAUCAUCAAACAGCUUCUUUAAAACUAAACCUAUCUGCAACAAAGGAACAGAAGAUGAGUCUCACACACAUAUAGAUAGCCAUACUACAUGUAAUUUGGAGUCCCAUUUUCACCCCAAAUAUCCCUUUUCCCUUGAAACAAAAUGGGACGAAAGCCUCGUUAUCUCCAUGAUACUGUUGUGCAAAAACUUUCAGCUAUUAGAGACCUUUAUCACAUCAGUCUCCCAGUGAAGUAACCAAAUCACUACCCCAAAUGACUUACAUUUUUCUUUCAAGAGAAGAGAAAGCCGUAAAAACACAUACACAGCUUAUUAUUGCAUCCCUACAUAAAAUAAAAAGGGAUCUCCCGACUCUGUAAUGGCGAUGGACAGAAAAACAUACCUCAUUUUCAUUUCCAUAAGAUCGAGCACAGUCAAUAUGGCGGUAUCCAACCUGCAUAAAAGUACCAGAAAUUGAUUGACUGUAAGUUGUCAUACAAAUACAGAAAGACAUCCUCUCCAAUUCCCGUUCUUAUGUUAUGUUAUAUUUUUCUGUUCAAUCAAUCACUGAAAUUAGAAUGGAACCAAAUCCCAUUAACAUUUUUGAAAUUUAGGCUAAAAAUUUCUGAAUCUGCACAACUCUAAAUGAGCUAAUAAUCUCAUUAUACAUUCAGAAUCAUAAAAUAAUACAUCCGACAUUUCAAUAUGAGUAAAUACAUAAAUAACACACACAAUUGUACAUUUCCACAUACAAGUUCCAUUGAAGAUAAAUGUUACAACACACUAAGGGUGUGUUUGUCACCCAUUAUUUGGGAAGAAUGUAUUAUAGAAUAGUGAUUGAUGUUGAAAUAUGUGAUUAAAAAAGAAUGAAAAGUUUUUGAUUUACACAUAAUAUUAUUUUAAUGAAGAAUAUGUGGUUGAAAAUGAGUAAAAUAGAAAAAAGAAUGGGAGAGAAUGGAUGACAAACAGAGGCUAAGAUACAUAUAAGCAUAUACAAUGUGCAUAUGUAUGUAGAGAGAAUGGCGAUAGGCGACCUUGAUGGCUUUUUCAACCGCUUGACCGACGAUACCAGGCUCGGACUGCCAAGUGCCCAGGCCGACAGAGGGAAUUUUUGCUCUGGUGUUCAACUCAAACUCGAAGCAUGUAAUCUCCUUCGCCAUUAUCUACAUUCACAUUUUUUUAGAUAGAGAAAUUGAAAGGUUGAAUGCUGAAUAAAGGAUGCGGUGACACAAACACCUAAAAAAUUAAAAAUAUUCAAUCCAAUGAAGUUGUUAUUACCUCAACCAAUAAAUAACAUUCAAUUCAGCGAUCAACAAAUCAGUACAUUUUUAAUUAAAAUUGUACUGACCGACAUUUUGCCUUCUGGCAUGGCUCUCCUCUCCAUCGUUUGGACCCUCACAGAAACACAUUUUCGUUUCCCACUAUUCACACCCAAAAUCUAUCACAUACAUCAAAACAUGUCAACAAAUAAACAUAAAAUUAGGGUUUUAAUUUCAAAUACAGUUGUCAAAGAAAAGUAUAUCUGCUACUUACCGUGGAAUUGUUAUUAUUAGAGCAGAGGAGGUGAUUGGGUGUGGCCCAUGUGGGAAGGCGUCUGGGAGGGUACAGUGAGGCGGAAGAGAGUGGCGAGUUAAGGUCCAUAAGUAAAGGAUAAAUGUGGAAAGCCAUUAAUUUGUAAAUUAAAAGAAAAAAUUGAAAAGGAAAGUGAAUGAAUUCAGGUUCAGCAGACGGGGAAGCCCACCAGAGGCUACAGUGAGGUCGCCUGCACAGGAAAUAAAGACUUUGAUGUCCCAACAUUUUUAAAAUAUAUUUUCCCCUUUAUUCUUUUCAGCAACACAUUUUUUAAUAGACUAACAUCAUGCUCAAAUCCAAUUUUCAUUUUUUUUAACCACACAAUUUUCAUCAAUUUAUUAUUUUAAAAUGCAAUCUUCCAUAAAAAUUGGGCUCAAAUUAAGCAAAUGCUUUGACGUAUCCUUUAGAACAUUAUUGUUGGAUAAAAAAAAAAAAUGAAUAAUGCUCAAUUAUAGGCAACGACUUACAUAACAACUUAUUAUUUGAGACAUUAAUUUUUUUUAAUUAUGUUGCCUCCACUAACAAGCUAAAAUCUUAAAUAAUAUAUUGUGAUACUAUUGCAGCCCCUUUGCAUUAAUAAAUAAAUAAAAAUGAAUGAAUGAACUUGACUAUUACGUCAUAAUUAAUAUUUAUUUUAAUUUUUUUUAUUAUUAAAUCAUCAGCUCAAAUAAUGACACAUAUCUUUGAAUUAUAAUUUUAGGUCCUGUUUGUUUUUCAUUCUUUGGUAAAAAAAAAAUGAAAAAUAUAAUCGUUAUAUAUCACAUCAAGUCAUCAUAUUUGACUUCCUCUCUUGUGUGGGUCCCGUAAAAAUUAUAUUUUUCAUUCUCAUUCUUAUGAAAAUGAGUAUCAGGGCUUAAUUUUUUGUUCCUCUCUCUUGCUUUUUAGUUAAAUUAUUAUUAUUAUUAUUAUUUUCCUCUCAUUUAUAUCAAAAUAUUAUUCACUUAUAUGAAUUCACACACUUAAACUAAAAUUCAAAUUAAUUCAAACAGAUGAUGAGAAGUAGAAUGGAAGGUGUAGCAAAGAACUAUCGAAUUCUUGUUGGGAAUUUUAGAAAAAAAUAUUUGUAGUCAGAAGAAAAACAAAACAGGAGAAAAUAUAAAUUUAUGUAUCUAACUUCUCUUAAAAAUGGGAAGUAGUUAUUACUGUAGAAGGAAUAGUAAACAAAUCCCAAGUUACUAUACAAGAGAAAAAAUGGCGUCAUUUUUUUUUUUUUUAACUUUUCCAUUCUCCAUUUUCAUACGUUAUGGUCAUGCCUUUUCUAAUAUCUGGAGAUGCAAUAUCUACAUUAGUGUUGAAUCCUAUUCUUUCAUCCUAUCCCCAUUUUAACAGUUUCAAAAUUAUUUCAAUUUCAACACGCAAUCAUCAUUUCCAUUUCUCUUUCUCCUACCUACAAUCUUCAGUUUUUCUAUUUUUCACACAAAAAUCAGAGACUACAAGCAACCCAUUUUUCACACAAAAAAUCAAAGCCUACACAACAAUCAGUAUUCUCACGCAUUUUCUUGUGGUUAUUGGAGCGACAAUAGCCAAAGAAGUAGUUGAACACUGGAGGUGCAAAAUAGGAUUUCAUUUUUAUUACUUUUCUGAGGUGCUCUUCCUACAGUUUUGCUUCUUCUUCUUUCUUUUUUUAUUUUAUUUUAUUUCUCUUGCUUUAACCCUAAUCUCUCUCUCCCGAUGGUAGGAAAAAAUACAAACAAUUUGCAGAAAUUGAUACAUAUAUCGGUAAGUAUACCUCUCACGACUUCAAUUUCUUACUCUUAUGUAUGUUUCUUCUGGUUUUUAAGUUGUAUUGUUGAAUGAUCGAUUUUUCCCCAUUUUGUUUUCGGUCUUUUAAGAGAUCCAACCCAAAUCAAAGCAAAAAUCCUUUGGCAGGUGUUGCCUUAAAUAUAAGCUUCAGAUUUUGUAUAAUUUGGUUAUAAAUUGGGUUUUAGAUUGAGCUUGGUUUCUUUACAUAUUAUGAUUAAAAUGUGCUUCAAAAGGGUGAUAUUUUGAAGUUAUCUUGAAAUCUUCAUACUCCUCUUUUUGUUUAUGGUUGUUCCAUUUCAUUCAACCUGUAUUUUUUGUGUUUGAUCUUUUUCUCUUUAUCUUUGUUCCAAGGUUAACGAAACCUCCCCAAAAAAGUGGAAAUUUUGCCCAGAAAUUGGUGAUUGACUCUCAGUUUGUAACUCUAAUUUUUGUUGACGGUGGCCCCCUUGGUAAGCCUCGCUUGUCAUUCGCUAAUGGGGUUUGGAUAUAGAGUCUCAGCUUGAAGCCCUGUUUUAAAGAAAUUGUAGAUAAAGUUUAUAAGGCAGCUUCUAAUUCUGUUGAUUUUCAAACUGAGGUUAGUUUAAUUUCUAUUUUCAAUUAUAAAACUCAUUAACUUGUUUAUCGUUGAUCAAGGUUUGAAUGUUUCCUUGUAAAUUUUUUGCUUAUUAUUGGUGUCAAGAGGUGGUUUGUGUGCUUUCAAAUUUCAUUUUUUUUAAUCGAGACUCUAUUGUGUAUGUUUCUGAAUUCAAUUUGAUGGCUUUGACACAAUUAAUAUGAUUACUUUUGGGCAAAAUAGGCAACGAAAUUUUCAAAACUAAUUUCAAAAAUUAUUACAAGUGGUCCAUUUCAUCCAUUUUUAUUAGUUUGGUUAAUGGGAAAGCUAUUUCUUCCAAUAGGAUUGUUGAACUUAAAAUUUAUUGCAAUUGGUUGUUUUAUCCAUUUUUUUUUAAUUUUGUUAAGGGAAAGCUAGAGUGGAUGUCCAGUAUUACCAAUGAAAAAUGAAUUUAGUUCAAUUAGUUAAACUACUUUUGCUCGUUUCUAUAAAUUGUUUGUCAACACUCUUUUUAUUUACACAUUUUGAGGAACCACUCAUUUCUAUCCAUUUGUAAUUUGAACUGUUUAAAAACACUCCCAAACACGUUAUUAUGUAAAUAAACACAAGCAAGUUUAGCCAGAGGAAUUUGAGCUUGAAUUAAAUAUAGAUUUUGGAAUUCCAUUGACAAACUUGUUUGGUCCGAGUCAGUAUUUCUCAGAGAACGAUUUGUUCAUUGUAUGAAUUUUCCAAGUUUCAAUGGAAUUGAGUUUGAUCUUGGCUAUUCAACAAAUCUUGGUUAUUAAGUUGCAAUUAACUUGAACUUAAUGUUAAAUAUCUUCUCUGAUGAUGAAUAAAAAUGGUUCGACUUCUUCUUAAAGCAAAAAAAUUGACUUCUCUGAUGACACGCAAAAACAAAAAAUUCGACUUCUCUGAUGAAAUUACUGGGGUACUGCUAUUCAUCGGGCACGUUCUUAAUCAUCUUCUUGGCUAAUCAAAUGUACUGAACUAGACUAUUACGUAUACAUAGUCUUAUACGGUUGAUUGAGGUUUGUAUUUUUCUAUUUCCGAAAGCUUCGACUAGCUGUGCUUAUCGUACUGUAUUUGUUGCCUGUCAUCCGGUUUCUCUUGUUUUUGUAAAGGUGGUUCCAUGCAUACACUUGACUGUUAUGUGCUCUCUAUUAUCUUUAUAUGAACGUUUUCUGAGACUAAUCAACAUGUUUCUUUUCAACUUAAAACUGGAACAUUGAUUGCUAAAUGCCCUUUACAUUGAUGUGAAGUCUGGACUUAAUAAUGCUUUGGCUUUCACAUCUGUUGAGGAAUUCAAUAAAGUAACACUAUAUGUUUUAGUUCAAAAAGUGUUGGGAGAGUAUAAAUUUUUUGCUCCAUUGGAAGGGCCUUCAUUUCACUAUGCUAACAAAAUUGAGUUAAUCACUUGCUUUCUCUACUAUACAUGGCAUAGAUUACUUUUAUGAUGAGAAUUAAAUUAGAAACGCCCAUAUUGAUAGUAGAAUGAGCGCUUAAAUUAUAUAUCACAUACAUUAGACUUUUUAAAUGUGUUUAAACUUUAGUAAUUUAUUGAAGCACCAAAUUUACAGCCACAAAUAAGCAUAUAGUGUGAAAACUCAUAUCUAAGAUCGUAUCAAAGUUGCCCUCCAAAUCUGUGCUUCAUUGUAUGUUAGUUAGCAAAUCAUAAGACGAGGUAUUUUUAAACUGUUAAUUACUGAUGUAUCUUCUAUCUUUACCUCCCCUUUUUGGGAUUUUUUUAUGGUCAAUGUUGCUAAUGAAAUGUUAUUCAUUUGCAUUGCAGAUUUUGUUAGUUUCUUUCGGUGAGGCCAUAUUUAUUUUAGGUUUAAUAGACUUUUAGGUUCAUACUCAUUUUCCUAAUUCUGUAGCCUCGAUUUGACUAUGUUUAUAGUGGUAAUUGGGAAAUAAGUUGAAGAAAAAAUGUUUUUUCUCUGUAUUCCUAUUGUGGUUGACAAUUUCAAUUGUUUACUGGUCAGGAAUUACUAUUUGAAUAAGGGUAAUUAUAAAUAUAUAUUUUAUCAUUUACUAUUGUGUUGUCUUUGGAGUUUAUUUGACUAAAAGGUAUUGAAAAUGGUUCCUUUGUGAAGGCUUAAUGUUAGUUAAAUUGGUCGGACCUUGUGGACAAUAAUUUUAUUUUUGAUUAUAUGCUGGUUUAUGGACUCAAUGGGUCAUUUUGUCUCUAUGUUGUCCACCAUUUCGGUGUCACCAGGCAAGAGCGAGACAAGGCUGUCGUAAGUAUUAUUUAUUUACUUCUUAUCAAAUCAAUUUUUAUUUAGCUAUUUUUGGAUUGAAACAAGUUAGUAGCCUAUUUUAGAUUGUCAAGUAAAACUUUAUGACAAAAACAUGGGUUAUAUCCUAAUCAUUAAACUUAAUGAAUUUUAUCCUUAUUAAUAGGAUACAGAGAAUGAUUUACCUCUGGCCUUGGAGAAAGAGGGAGCUUGAUAGCAUUUGUAAGAAGCAAGUAGUUAAAAUUGAGCAUAACCAACUGGUAAUAGAAUAUUUUCUUGUCGUAAAUUGUUUGAACUAUAACUGUGUUUUAAAUUGGUCUAACAUGUAAAUUUGGUCUAACAUUUCUAACUUCUUAUAAAAAUGGUAGUGAGGGACUACUGUAGAUGCAAUAGUAAAUUAGUUCAAUUUUACUGUUCUUGAUGUCAUUUUUCAUUUUCGCAUUUUCUGAAGAAUUUUGUUUAUGGUGAUCUGACAAAUAUUUUUCCCACACGCAUCGUGUCAUCACCAUUAAAAAAAUAAUUUUAAUAUAUAUAAACUGUAAUGAGGAAAAAAAAACUCCGCAUAGUGCCUAGAGUUGGAGACUACCUCUCCGCACUGCGGAGUGAUCUCCAACUCUCCGCAUAGUGCGGAGAGAUGGCUCCACACUCCGCAUAGUGCUCAAAGAUUUUCUUUCUUUUUUUUUUUUUUGGUAAUUUUUUCUUCAUUUUUUUUCUCCACUCUCUCUCUCGCUCUCCCUACUUUUCUUCAUUUUUUUUCUCCACUCUCUCUCUCUCUUUCCCUACUUUUUUUUUUUUUUUCCACUCUCUCUCUCUCUUUCCCUACUUUUUUUUUUUUUUUCCACUCUCUCUCUCUCUUUCCCUACUUUUUUUUUUUUUUUCCACUCUCUCUCUCUCUUUCCCUACUUUUUUUUUUUUUUUCCACUCUCUCUCUCUCUUUCCCUACUUUUUUUUUUUUUUUCCACUCUCUCUCUCUCUUUCCCUACUUUUUUUUUUUUUUUUUUUUUUUGGUAAUUUUUUCUUCAUUUUUUUUCUCCACUCUCUCUCUCGCUCUCCCUACUUUUCUUCAUUUUUAGGCAAUAUCUAUUUUUCCUUACUUCUUCGACAUAGUAUAUAUAAACUGUCAUGAGCACAAAAAAAAAACUCUUCACACAGUGCGGAGAGUUGGUCUCUAACACUCCGCACAGUGCAAGAGAUUUUCUUUCUCUUUUCUCGAUAAAUUUUUUUUCUUUUUUUUUUCACUCUCUCUCGCUCUCCCUACUUUUCUCUAUUUUUUGGGCAAUAUUUAUUUUUCUCUACUUCUUCAACAUAGUAUAUGUAAAUUGCCAUGAGCAAAAAUAAAAACGACAAUGAGGUAAAGAAUUUUGUUUAUGAAUGUUCUUCCACACGCAUCGUGCGAUCACCAUUAAAAAAAUAAAUUUAAUAUAUAUAAACUUUCAUAAGCAAAUAAAUAAAUACUCUUCACACUGUGGGGAGAUCAUCUCUCCACCUCUCCGCAUAGUACGGAGAGUGCGGAGCCAUUUUUCCAUCACUCCGCACAGUGUGGAGAGUUGGAGCGCACUCUCCACAUAGUGCGGAGAGAUUUUAUUUUUUUCAGUAAUUUUUUUUCAUACUCUCUCUCGCUUUCCCCACUUUUCUCCAUUUCUUUAGCCAAUACUAUUAAUAUAAACUGCUAUGAGCAGGAAAAAAAGCUCUCUACACUGUACAGAGAGAUGCGGAGAGAUUUUUUUUUAUCGGUAAUUUUUUUUCUUCUUUUUUCUUUUUUUUCCCACUCUCUCUCUCUCUCUUUCCCUACAUUUCUUCAUUUCUUUACACAAUAUCUAUUUUUCUUUACUUCUUGACGCAACAUCUAUUUUUUCUACCCGUUUACAUAACAUCCAUUUAUCUUUCUUUUCUCCUCCAAUUUUCAACCCAUUUCUUUUUCUCUCAAACUCCUCUCUCUCACCCAAAUUGUAAAUUUUUUGCUCAAUUCAUAUUUUAUCUCUCAAAAUGCCAUGUAUUGAUAGUUUUACUAUACUUCAGGUGUCUAUGGCAGAUGAAGUAGUGGAUCUUCGAUUUCUUAGAUCCAAGAAAAGGUUUUGACCUAAUUUUUUUUUAAAACUUUUACGGUUUCAUGGUAGAAAAUGCCUUUUGUUGGAUCUUUAGUUUUCAUUGAUUAUUAUGUAAUUAAAAUUUGGAAAUUUUAUCGUGCUCUUUUUACAUUUGUCGUAAUAAAUUUAAUAAAUUUCCUAAAUGUUAAACUUGAGUUUUUGGCAUCUUACAGUUUCGUGGUUGCUAGAUGUAUAUUCCUUUACUAAUGUAAUUUUUCUGUUUUUAAUGAUAGAUUUCUUAUAUACUUUGACUUUUCUUUUCAUUUUUCUGCUAUUUUUUAAUCUUUCUUAUCCUACCUCCACACCUCUUCUUCUAAUCUUUUGUUUUCAUUUUUUUUUUUUUUUGGUACUUUCACCUACAAGAUUUUCUACUUUUGUUUAUCCAAUGUUACAUGUGGUCCUUCACUUGGAAGACAAGAUAUUUUCACUCUUGAGAAUUUAUUUUUACAGAUAAAUGGAUGAAUAGUUUUGCUGAAAGACCUUUCACAUCACAUGCCUUAGAUUUUUGAGUUGUAAAAAUAUAUUUUUUAAAUUGCAUUUUAUUAAUCAUCUGCAAUGCCUUUAAGUUUCUUUGUUAUGGGUGAAUAUCAAGUUUUUCAUCCAUAUAACUGCGGAGUACUUGUUUAUUUUCUGGACUGACUAUAUCCUUUAUGAGGAAUAUGGAAAAGUUGCAUCAAUACGGUUAAAAUUUUUUGCUUCCCAAGGCAAGCAUGCUGAACAAUUAUCGGUUAAUUAAAUUUACAUUGCUAUUUUGAUAUCAUGUAUUAGCAAGAAUGAAUUACUGCAGUUAGUAUAUAGAAGAUGAAAGUUAUUUGAUUUUUUGUUUCAAAGUACCUUAUUAUUUCAUUGAAUGACUAUUGAUAGCAAUUUUUUCAAUUAAAAGUAUAAAGAAGUGAACAAAAAAGUGAGUAAAUGGUAUACUAAAUGAAGUAAACUUGAUAUUUAAUGCUUCGCAAAGUGGAUGCUUCUAUUUCAUUUCUUGUCCACGUGCAUUAUGUUUUUCAUUUAAUUCAAUUAUUAUAAGAAUUCCUUUCUCAGGGAGAUUCAAUAGGUUAAUGUGUGUCUUUACAAUAUUUUACUAUGGAUGAGUGACAUAACAUAAUUGCCUUCUAAAAUUACCUUUUCAUUGUCGAAUAUGAUGUCAGUGUUGAAUAUGUUGUUGCAAUAACUGAGUAAAAAGUUCCAACAUCCGCAUUUGUUCAACUCUUUUACAAACAUAUCUCAUACUCCCAUGCAACUAACUUGCAAUUGAAAACUAAUCUAUUAAAAGGUUUUUUCAUAUAUUCUUGGAUUCAUCCCCAAGCAACUAACUUACAAUUAAGCAAAAAUUAUAUUAGACCACUUGUUUCAUUUUCAAGUUUUGUUGGUUGUGAUGAUUUCUUGCAAGCUGUAUUUUUGAUCGAUUGAGUUCGGCCUUUUCAUUGAUUUUGCUAAAAAUCAUUGGACUAAUCAGUGCUCAACUGGAAUUAUAUUUAUAUAAUCUAUAUACAAUUGAUGAGUCAUUGUUUAGAAUUUCUUUUGAGAUGCAUCCGAUGAAAGUUUAAUAGAAAAAAUGGGUCCCAUUGUUUAGAAAGUUGAUGAAUGGCAAAGGAUAGAUUAUUGAAUUGAAUAGAACAAUUUAUGCAUGCCUCCAAUAUUUUCCUUAACUUAGUGCAAGUGUUUUUUUGUCAACAUCUUAAGAAUUCCAUACUACUCAAUUAAGAAAUAAUGACAUUACUAAUACAUUCAGCUUUUCUCACACAUUUGUCUAAAUUAAUCAAACACAUAUACUAGAUAGUUUUUAAUUUUUGGUUUAGAAGAUAGUAAUUUUGAGAUAGUAUAAGCAUUCUUCACUUUAGGUUUAUUUAACUAACCGCAACAUAAGUCUAUGCAUAGGGAUUUUUAAGAUAGAGCAUUGGCGAAGUAAUAAUAUGCUUCUAAAACUCUUGAAUAAUGAAAUAAAUCUUAAACAUUUUUUUUAACAUCUACAAUUUUUACACUAAUAAAAACACAAUAAAUACAACAUCCGUACAACGCACAUAACAAAGACUAGUAGUUUGUAAAAAUCGCUACAUUGACGUAAGUCAACUACAAAAUGUCCAUUUGCAAACUCUCUGUUUACCACUCUCUAUCCGACACAAUAUACAUUAUUAGAAAUAGAAAUUUUAUAUAAAUUUCAUUCCAAGUUUUAUGAUAAAUCAAUUUUCUGAAUUUUUGUUUAACUACGAGUCACCAUAUCAUUCAAAUAAAAUAAUCCUAAUUUUCCCUGUUUGAUUUUCAUUACAUUACAUUACAUUCUAUUUUUCUCUCUCCUAUUUUCAAUCACACAAUCUUCCAUAAAAUAAUAUUACACGUAAAUCGAAAAUUUUUCUUUCUUUUUCAACCACUCAUUUUUCAAAAAACACUAUUCUAUACAUUAAAUUUUCCCCGUAAUGGGGGCCAAACAGGGGCUAAUUCUUUUUCUGUGCAAGGACAUUUUAGGUAAAUCAAUCUAAUAAGAUUGAACUUAUGAAAUUGAUGAAAGAAUAAAUGUGAAGAAUGUUUUAAAUGGUCAUAAAGCUUAUAUGCUCAUCAUCAUCUACCAUAAUCAAAAUACCAUGAUUGUACUUCAUGGGCACUAUAUCGUAGCACACAGGAUCAAUCCUAAGGAUAACUCAGUGAUCAGAUCUUGGGUUUGCUCCUCAAUGAAUACUAGUUCGAGUCCCCUCAAGGUCAAUGAGGUAAGUACCCAACUAUAAACUUUAAGGCCCCGUGAAAUUAGUCGAAAUGCGCGUAAACUAACCCGGACACCCAUGGUCAUAAAAAAAAUAAAAAUAAACAUAUAUAUAUAUAUAUAUGACUUUGGCACCAUAGAAUGAAUGAAAUUUCUCAAAAUAGUUCAAACUUUAAACUCCUUCAGCAUCAGGACAAACUUCAAACUUUCGAUGGAAGCAUGAUUAACAGGAAACAUUUUUUCCAGUAUGAAAUUACACACAUUAACUAGAAAUCAUAAGUUACCAGAACAUCUAUGCUUGCAAAGCCAGCUCAAAUGUCACCAUCCCAUAUAUCUUCGACGGUUCUGUAUGAGCCGAACUUCUCGUGGACAAAAAAAUUACCUGUAACUUGUCUUUCCUGCCAGCAUAGAAAAACGCAUUUCUUACGAGCUGUGGAAAGAAAAUGCCAAAGUUCUUAAAAUCAAAUUUUGUUCGCUGUGUAAAAAACGGUGUAGAUGUGAAGCAACUUGGCAAAAAUUUUAACAUCAAAAUCUUUAUUGUUGGUGAUGCUGCAUGCAUGUAGGCAUGUAUGGGAAAUGAAUUAAAUCUUAUCUAUUAAUGUCCAGUUUGAUCUAAUACUGCCUACGAAACAUGCCUCACAAGUAUGACCUAUAAGUUGUAGUACUAAUAUUUAAUGACAACAACUGUAUGGGAUUCACAUGAUGGGGACGAAUCAAAAAAUUGCUAGUGAGUACUAUUCAUCUAAUAUCUAACUCUUCUCAGCUGUAUUCACAAAAUAGAUUGUUGCACUACUCAGAACUUCCCUCGAGAAGAAAUACACCCAUAAAAUCUCAAAGGGAUUUAAUGUAAUGAAAUGGAAAUAACUUGCCUGAUCAAUUUUGGAGAACUUGGCAAACAAGUCAUCAGGUAUAGACCAAUCAAAAACAUCAAAGUUCUCUUUGAUCCUUGAUUCAUUUGUGCUCUUGGGAAGUACACUAUGACCCAUCUGCAAACCCCAUCGAAGAGCAACCUGAGCAGGAGUUUUACCCAAUUUUUCUGCGGUAGUGACUAUAACAGGAUGCUUGAGAACAUUGGUCUUGUACAUCACCGUUCCAGGCGAACCAAGUGGUGAAUAUCCCUUUUAAGAAAAUUAACACGUUGAUUAAAAUGCAAAAAAAAUCAAAGGUAAAAACCGUUCUCAGAUUUAAACUUUUAAUGGUGAGCCAAGCAAUUAUGAUUAUCAAAUUGAAAUAUAACUACCCCCACCACCACAAAGAGAGAGAAGACCAAAAGAAGUUUCCUCAUUCUUAGAGACAUGAACCAAAGGAUCAUUGUGUAAUGUUAAGUAACCGAGUUUUGCCAACUCACAGAGAGGUGAACUCCCUUUGAUUUACAGAAUUCUCGUAGUUUGGUCUGCUGCCACACCGGAUGGCACUCAACUUGGACGACAGCCGGAGGAAUGCGAGCUACAUCCAAUAGAUCACCAAGCUUUUUGGUGGAUAUAUUGCAAAUUCCAAUAGCUCGGGCCUUACUAGAGUCGUAGAGUGCUUCCAUGGCCUUCCAUGUGGUAGGUAUAUCAACUGGAACAAAGUCUUCUGGAUUAAUGCCAACAGCCCCCUUCCUCAACCGGGCAGGCCAAUGGAUCUUCACAAUUAGACAGGUCCAUUCAUUAGCCCAUGAUAUAAUUUUUCCAACAGUAAAGAUGCAAAAUAUCCCUCUCAAAGAAAAGAAAAGAAAGAUGUCUAUGGAUCAAGCUGAUUCUGUGUUAUUCUAGAUCUACGAAUUCAUGCAUACUGUCUUCUUAUAAGGUCAUCUUGCGUUAACUUUUAAAUUGUCAAAAUUUUAAUAAAAGGUUAAUAUCACGAAAAUUUACGUACAAG
rnacentral:lncRNA from 1 species